rnacentral:lncRNA from 1 species
UCCUUUCUUCCCCCUCCCGCCAUUUGUUUCCUUGUGGGUGCGCACUGCACCUCCCGUGCUCGUUCUAAUAUCAAGUAAAAUGUUAAGGUGCCGUGACUCACAUUUGCGAAUAAACCUGAGGACCAUAAUUCAAGUCGAGCAUAACGUCGAAAGAAUCAUCUGCAAAAAAAUGGGUGCAACACGAGGACUUCCUAAGAAAAUAGGUGAAAUAUAAGGACUUCGCAUGAGGUCACCCAUCCUAGUGCUACUCUCGCCCAAGCACCCUUAACUUGCAGAGUUCUGAUAGAAUCCGUUGCAUUGGUGCUUGUAUGAUCGCUCAUGUUUCAUUCUACGCUGCAAAUACAUACACUCUUUCUCCCUCCAUCCCCUCUCCCGUCAUUUGUUUCCUUGUGCGUGCACUCUGCAUCUCUCCUUCUUGUUCUAAUAUCAAGUAAAAUACCCUGGCAUCGUGACUCACCUUUGCGAAUGAACCAGCGGUUUAUAAUUGCAUUCGCGCGUAACGUCGAACGAUCCAUCCGAAAAAAAAUGGGUGCAACACGAGGACUUCCCAGGAGGUCACCAAUCCGAGCACUACUCCCGCCCAAGCACACUUAACUGCUAAGUUCCGAUGGGAUACGGUGCAUUAGUGCUGGUAUGAUGGCACCUAUUUAAUUUCGCGCUGCAAAUACGUACACUCCUUCUCCUUUCUUCCCCUUCCCGUCAUUUGUUUCCUUGUUCGUUCACACUUCACCUCUCAUUCUCGUUCUAAUAUCGAUUAAAAUGCCCCUGAUUCUUGACUCACAUUUGCGUAUAAACCAGCGGACCCUAGUUCCAGUCGCGCGUAACGUCGAACGACCCGUCUGAAAAAAAAUUGGUGCGACACGAGGACUUGCCAGGAGGUCACCCAUCUGAGUACUACUCUCGCCCAAGCACACUUAACUGCGGAGUUCUGACGGGAUCCGGUGCAUUUGUGCUGGUAUGAUCGCACCCGUUUAAUUCCGCGCUGCAAAUACAUAAAUUCCUUCUCCUUUCUUCCCCCUCCCGUCAUUUGUUUCCUUGUGCGUGCGCACUGCACCUCCCGUUCUCGUUCUAAUAUCAAGUAAAAUGUCACGGCACCGUGACUCACAUUUGCGAAUAAGCCUGAGGACCAUAAUUCAAGUUGCGCGUAACGUCGAAAGAAUCAUUUGCAAAAAAAUGGGUGCAACACGAGGACUUCACAAGAAAACGGGUGAAAUAUAAGGACUUCGCAGGAGGUAACCCAUGCUAGUAGUACUCUCGCCAAAGCACCCUUAUCUAUGGAGUUCUGAUAGAAUCCGUUGCAUUAGUGCUGGUAUGAUCGCACCUGUUUCAUUUUGUGCUGAAAAUACAUACACUCCUUCUCCUUCCCUCCCCCUCCCAUCAAUUGUUUCCUUGUGCGUUCACACUGCACCUCUUCUUCUCGUUCUAAUAUCGAUUAAAAUGCCUCUGCUUCUUGACUCACAUUUGCGUAUAAACCAGCGGACCCUAGUUCCAGUCGCGAGUAACGUCGAACGACCCGUCUGAAAAAAAAUUGGUGCGACACGAAGACUUCCCAAGAGGUCACCCAUCCGAGUACUACUCUCGCCCAAGCACACUUAACUGCGGAGUUCUGAUGGGAUCCGGUGCAUUAAUGCUGGUAUGAUCGCACCUAUUUAAUUUCGCGCUGCAAAUACAUAAACUCAUUCCCCUUUCUUCCCGCUCCCGUCAUUUGUUUCCUUGUGCGUGCGCACUGCACCUCCCGUUCUCGUUCUAAUAUCAAGUAAAAUGUCACGGCACCGUGACUCACAUUUGCGAAUAAACCUGAGGACCAUAAUUCAAGUUGCGCGUAACGUCGAAAGAAUCAUUUGCAAAAAAAUGGGUGCAACACGAGGACUUCACAAGAAAAUGGGUGAAAUAUAAGGACUUCGCAGGUGGUAACCCAUGCUAGUACUACUCUCGCCAAAGCACCCUUACCUACGGAGUUCUGAUAGAAUCCGUUGCUUUAGUGCUGGUAUGAUCGCACCUGUUUCAUUUCGUGCUGAAAAUACAUACACUCCUUCUCCUUCCCUCCCCCUCCCAUCAAUUGUUUCCUUGUGCGUUCAUACUGCACCUCUUCUUCUCGUUCUAAUAUCGAUUAAAAUGCCCCGGAUUCUUCACUCACAUUUGCGUAUAAACCAGCGGACCCUACUUCCAGUCGAGCGUAAUGUCGAACGACCCGUCUGAAAAAAAAUUGGUGCCACACGAGGACUUCCCAUGAGGUCACCCAUCCGAGUACUACUCUCGCCCAAGCACACUUAACUGUGGAGUUCUGAUGGGAUCCGGUGCAUUAGUGCUGGUAUGAUCGCACCCGUUUAAUUGGCACUGCAAAUACAUAAAUUCCUUAUACUUUCUUCCCGCUCCCGUCAUUUGUUUCCAUGUGGUGCGCACUGCACCUCCUGUGCUCGUUCUAAUAUCAAGUAAAAUGCUAAGGUGCCGUGACUCACAUUUACGAAUAAACCUGAGGACCAUAAUUCAAGUCGUGCGUAACGUCGAAAGAAUCAUCUGUAAAAAAAUGGGUGCAACACGAGGACUUCCUAAGAAAAUAGGUGAAAUAUAAGGACUUCGCAUGAGGUCACCCAUCCUAGUGCUACUCUCGCCCAAGCAUCCUUAACUUGCGGAGUUCUGAUAGAAUCUGUUGCAUUGGUGCUUGUAUGAUCGCUCAUGUUUCAUUCUGCGCUGCAAAUACAUACACUCUUUCUCCCUCCAUCCCCUCUCCCGUCAUUUGUUUCCUUGUGCGUGCACUCUGCAUCUCUCAUUCUUGUUCUAAUAUCAAGUAAAAUACCAUGGCAUCGUGACUCACCUUUGCGAAUGAACCAGCGGUUUAUAAUUGCAUUCGCGUGUAACAUCGAACGAUCCAUCCGAAAAAAAAUGGGUGCAACACGAGGACUUCCCAGGAGGUCACCAAUCCGAGCACUACUCCCGCCCAAGCACACUUAACUGCUAAGUUCCGAUGGGAUACGGUGCAUUAGUGCUGGUAUGAUGGCACCUAUUUAAUUUCGCGCUGCAAAUACGUACACUCCUUCUCCUUUUUUCUCCU